GUACACGCUGUGACUAGCAUAUCAAUAAGCGGAGGAAAAGAAACUAACAAGGAUUCCCUCAGUAACAGGCGAGUGAAGCGGGAAGAGCUCAAAUUUGAAAUCUUCAAGGUUUUACCUUGACGAAUUGUAGUUUAAAGAAGUGUUUUCUGCUGAAGUUUUGGUAAAAGUUCUUUGGAAUAGGACAUCAUAGAGGGUGAGAAUCCCGUAUUUGACCAUUAUUUUCAGCUUUGUGAUACACUUUCAAAGAGUCGGAUUGUUUGGGAAUGCAGUCCAAAAUGGGUGGUAAAUUUCAUCUAAAGCUAAAUAUUGGCGAGAGACCGAUAGCGAACAAGUACCGUGAGGGAAAGAUGAAAAGAACUUUGAAAAGAGAGUUAAAUAGUACGUGAAAUUGUCAAAAGGGAAGCGUUUAACACCAGUGUUGUUUUCUGAAAAUCAACCUCUGUUAGCUUUAUGCAUGUUUGUUUAGACCUAAUCAGCUAUCUUUCAUGUUCUAUUGUUUGCAGUGGUGCACUUUUCAGUUUACAGGUCAACAUCAGUUUUUUUUACCGUAAAAAAGUUAAAGAAAGGUAGCUCAUGGCUCCGGUCGUGAGUGUUAUAGUCUUUUUCCUAUGCGGUAGGAGAGACUGAGGUCUGCAGUGUAGGCUAUUUGGCUAGAUACUCAGGUGCUAUGUGAUACCAUUUCAUAAACAACUUGUUGAUUAUGUUUUGUCUAUUGCAUACUCGCUUGUACUAUCAUACCUACGCUUAGGAUGUUGAGUAGCGACAUACGCAC
rnacentral:rRNA from 1 species